rnacentral:rRNA from 1 species
UUGGAGGGCGGUAUUUAUUAGAUAACAAGCCAAUAUUCCUCUGGUCUAUUGUGGUGACUCAUAAUAACUGAUCGAAUCGCAAGGCCUAUGGCCGCGAUAAGUCAUUCAAGUUUCUGCCCCAUCAGCUUUCGAUGGUAGUGUAUUGGACUACCAUGGCGUUUACGGGUAACGGAGGAUUAGGGUUCGAUUCCGGAGAGGGAGCCUGAGAAACGGCUACCACAUCUAAGGAAGGCAGCAGGCGCGUAAAUUACCCAAUCCUGACUCAGGGAGGUAGUG